rnacentral:hammerhead_ribozyme from 1 species
AUCGAGCUGACGAGUCCCAAAUAGAACGAAACGCGUGUCCUGGAU